UAUUUUUCCCACCUCUCUUUUCUAUUCUGUUCGACUUGGGGAGGAACGAAGAAGAACAGAGGGUGAGAGAGAGAGAGAGAGAGAGAGAGAGAGAGAGAGAGAGAUAGAAGGAGUGAACAAAGUUGAGAGCUAGGGAAGCUCACGGAGGAGAAAGAGGACUAAUCUUGGAGUUCUUGAUUUGCUAUACUCAUGAUUGAUGGGAGCUGAGGACAUCGAAUGUGCACUCUGAAGGUUAAGUUGGUGAAAUAUUUUUGGGUAGUCGCCAUGGGACCGCUGAUCCAGCUGUAUAUAAAUAGGACGCCUAGACCGCUGAUUCGGCGGGAUAUAAAAAGGGACGCCUAGACCGCUGAUUCGACGGGAUACAAAAAUGGAUGCCUAGACCGCUGAUCCGGCGGGAUAUAAAAAGGGACGCCUAGACCGCUGAUCCGGCGGGAUAUAAAAUGGACGCUUAGACUCCUACUGCCGGAGGAUAAUGGGCAGCCCCCGCUUAUGAGAAAUGAAAUGAGGAAUUUGUGGAUAUGAGUGCGGGGUCACGGUACCGUCACAACUCUGUUGCGAGGAAAUGCAACCCUAUGGCUAUAUUGAUUGGUUUGUGUUGUAUAUUGUUUGGUUGGUAUGAGUAUUGGAGAUGUGUUGUUUGUUGAGAUUAUUGGAGAUGUGAUGAUUGUUGAGAUUGUCUGUAGUUGUUCUAUGAAAACCAUGUUGUUAUUAGAGUUUGAUAUGUCAAUUGAUUGUAUUGUGAGUUGCUAUAGAAUGUUAAUGAAUGGAUGUUUAAUGUUUAUGUGA